UGGACAAACACAUAAAUGUAAGACAUCAUUAGAGAUCGGUGCAAAUGGUAAACGCCCCCAACAGUGCCUUAAAAAGCAUCAAGUUUAUUCACUUUCUGCGCGUUUGAAGAUGGCACGCUACACAGGUGAGGAAGCUCCUGGAUAGUGAUGAAGAGUUCGUUUUCCUCAGAAGAAGAGUGGGAAUCCGAUGAUAAAUGUUUGCAUUUUGAAGAGCAACUUGAUCCAGCCGAGGAUACAAUUUUGGAUGAAUGAACAUGGAACCUUCAUGCAUUUGGAAAUUGCUCCCAAGGAUGAACCAGACUUGUGGAGGUCCCAAAAUUUUUUUCUGAGGUCUUUCUUUUGAUUUUCCCAUGAUGUCAAGCAAAGAGGCACGGAGUUUGAAGCAGAUGCCAAUGAGUCUGAUCCAUGUCCUGCAUUCUUAGUGCCGUCUGUACCAAACUGGGCUCUGAGACUGUGAGCUGCAUCUUUUCGAGCAACACCAGAAUCAGUGGGCCCAAGAACUUUUCUCCAGACUGAUACCGCUUCAUCUCCCAUCAGCUCCAUAGCAAUCACUGGACCAGAGCUCACAAACUGCACCAGAUUACUG